AUCUUCACACCAGCAGCAAGCACACUAUAAUGAAUGACUGCCAUGAGGGGUUACAGGAGCUUCUCUGGGCAGGUAGAAAGUUUAAUUUGAAAGGUCAGAGGAACUAGCAAGAUUGGACAAGCUAGAGGACCAACAGCCAUCUGGCCUGAUAAAAGCCUGUCCAGCACCCAGACAAUCAGGUUUUGGCUCAGCAGUCCUCAUUCCCGCGCUCCAAGACAAGAUGUGGCUAUGUACACCCUUAUUCUGCAAAAAGAAUCUGUGGGAGGAAGAGCCAUUACCCCAGACAAAUGAGCAAGGGCAUGAGGAUAGAGACAAUGCCUGUGUCCGAUGUUUGUGAAGACUAAAUGAGCCAAAGCUGCAGAGGAUGGAGACCAGCCUGUGACUCACAGGGAGUGCUUAACAUAUGCCUGUUGUAAUUAUUGCUGAUGGGAGAUACUGCGGUAGUAGUUGAGUUCACCCUGGCAUUUAUAUCACCUGAGUUAAUAUUUCAACUUUGCUACCUGUCAAUUAUGUAACCACGACGAGUUACUGAACCUUGCCAUGUCUCCAUUUCACCCACGAGAGCCCGCAUGUGAAGCACGGCCUUGCUGUAGACGUGCCAGCUACAGCUCACAAACUCUGUGCAACACUGGUUCAUAUGUUCUGGAAGUAGCCUAGUAUGGCUUUCAGCUCUCACCCUGAGAUGUCCUAUGGGAUGGUAUUUUAAGUAGUACCUGCCCUCUGUGGUUCACCUUUCCCAACAACCUCUGUGAAGAGCCCUGAGGAGAGUGGUUUCUCCAUCCCUGACUCCCACAGCACUCCCUGCACCAGCGCUACAUGGUUGGUAUUUGUAUGAGGACUCAUCCCCCCAGGUCAAGAAUGCCAGCUGAGAUCUCCACUUCCAAGGCAGCCCUCCAGUGCUGUCUGGCAUCGUAACUAAAACCACAGGAUGAGAAUCCGACAAAACGGUAGGACCUGGAGCUAAUGUGCCAGGCAAGACCUGUGUCUACCCUGCAAGCAUAUGUGAAAACCCAGGAGGAUGAAGAAGCCAUUGAUUCUUAGGACACUGGAAAGAAGCCCCUAGCAUGUUAAAGAGACAGAAACAGAGGAAUGAUCCACACUGCACAUGUGUGCACCUGUCCUCACCAUGGAUNGUGUGCACCUGUCCUCACCAUGGAUCCCACACUGCACAUGUGUGCACCUGUCCUCACCAUGGAUUCCCCACACUGCACAUGUGUGCACCUGUCCUUACCAUGGAUCCCACACUGUACAUGUGUGCACCUGUCCUCAUCAUAGAUUCCCCACACUGCACAUCUGUACACCUUUCCUCACCAUGGAUCCCACACUGCACAUGUAUGCACCUGUCCUCACCAUGGAU
rnacentral:lncRNA from 1 species